rnacentral:rRNA from 1 species
GACGAACGCUGGCGGCGUGCUUAACACAUGCAAGUCGAACGGAAAGGCCCUGCUUGCAGGGUACUCGAGUGGCGAACGGGUGAGUAACACGUGGGUGAUCUGCCCUGCACUUCGGGAUAAGCCUGGGAAACUGGGUCUAAUACCGGAUAGGAGCCAUUUUGAGUGUGAUGGUUGGAAAGUUUUUUCGGUGUAGGAUGAGCUCGCGGCCUAUCAGCUUGUUGGUGGGGUAAUGGCCUACCAAGGCGGCGACGGGUAGCCGGCCUGGGAGGGUGGACGGCCACAUUGGGACUGAGAGACGGCCCAGACUCCGACGGGAGGCAGCAGUGGGGAAUAUUGCACAAUGGGCGCAAGCCUGAUGCAGCGACGCCGCGUGGGGGAUGACGGCCUUCGGGUUGUAAACUCCUUUCGCUAGGGACGAAGCUUUUUGUGACGGUACCUAGAUAAGAAGCACCGGCUAACUACGUG